CACGUAGGGGGCAAGCGUUGUCCGGAUUUAUUGGGCGUAAAGAGCUCGUAGGCGGCUUAGUAAGUCGGGUGUGAAACCUCCAGGCUCAACCUGGAGACGCCACCCGAUACUGCUGUGGCUAGAGUCCGGUAGGGGAGCGUGGAAUUCCUGGUGUAGCGGUGAAAUGCGCAGAUAUCAGGAGGAACACCAAUGGCGAAGGCAGCUCGCUGGAACGGUACUGACGCUGAGGCGCGAAAGCGUGGGGAGCGAACAGG
rnacentral:rRNA from 1 species